AUCCGAGCUUCUACAGUAAGCAGUCUACUCCGAACUUCUAUUGCAAGUAGACUUCGUCCGAGCUUCUACAGUAAGCGAUCUACUCUGAACUUCUAUUGCAAGCAGACUUCGUCCGAGCUUCUACAGUAAGCAGUCUCCAUCCGGGCUGCCAUGGCAACCGAUCUCCAUCCGAGCUUCUACAAUAAGCGGUCUCCAUCCGGGCUUUCACGGCAACCGGUCUCCAUCCGAGCUUCUACAGAAAGCAGCCUUCUUCCAGACUCCUACAAGAGCCGGACUCCAUCCGAACUUCUACAGCAGAUGACUUUCGUCUGCAGCACCAACAGCACCCAACCAU
rnacentral:lncRNA from 1 species